AUUGAACGCUGGCGGCAGGCCUAACACAUGCAAGUCGAACGAGUGGCGUACGGGUGAGUAAUGUCUGGUAAACUGCCUGAUGGAGUGGGAUAACUACUGGAAACGGUAGCUAAUACCGCAUACCAUCGGAUGUGCCCAUAUGGUAUUAGCUAGUAGGUGGGGUAAAGGCUCACCUAGGCGACGAUACCUAGCUGGACUGAGAGGAUGAACAGCCACACUGGAACAGAGACACGGUCCAGACUCCUGCGGGAGGCAGCAGUGGGGAAUAUUGCACAAUGGGCGCAAGCCUGAUGCAGCCAUGCCGCGUGUAUGAAGAAGGACUUAGGGUUGUAAAGUACUUUCAGCGGGGAGGCGUUACCCACAGAAGAAGCACCGGCUAACUCCGUGCCAGCAGCCGCGGUAAUUC
rnacentral:rRNA from 1 species